AACGAGCGCUGGCGGCAUGCCUAACACAUGCAAGUCGAACGAGACCUUCGGGUCUAGUGGCGCACGGGUGCGUAACGCGUGGGAACCUGCCCUUAGGUUCGGAAUAACUCAGAGAAAUUUGAGCUAAUACCGGAUAAUGUCUUCGGACCAAAGAUUUAUCGCCUUUGGAUGGGCCCGCGUAGGAUUAGCUUGUUGGUGGGGUAAUGGCCUACCAAGGCGACGAUCCUUAGCUGGUCUGAGAGGAUGAUCAGCCACACUGGGACUGAGACACGGCCCAGACUCCUACGGGAGGCAGCAGUGGGGAAUAUUGGACAAUGGGCGAAAGCCUGAUCCAGCAAUGCCGCGUGAGUGAUGAAGGCCUUAGGGUUGUAAAGCUCUUUUACCAGGGAUGAUAAUGACAGUACCUGGAGAAUAAGCUCCGGCUAACUCCGUG
rnacentral:rRNA from 1 species